CAUACCUUUCAACGAAUCUAGUACUCUACGAGUAACAGGUAUAAUAAACUUUUUUACCAGCGCAUUCUUGAAUGAGUUGAAGUAUUCAAUGAUACUAUUUUAUGACUUCCUUCGUAAACAUUUUGUUUUGAGACGUACACUUGGAGGAAAUUGAGAUUCUUGAAGAAGAUCGGAUGUUGAUGACCACUGAAUGCUAGAUGACUGGCUCAUCCUUAUCAUAAAGAAAACCCAUUGAGCUCACGCACAAAUGAGUCAAAUUUAAGGCGUAGCAGGAAAUAUAUUUCGCAAUAGUUAAGAUAGUCAAGUGUCGUUUACACAAAGAGUGUGCGACAUCUGCUGGAUCCCAGGCCAUCCAAUGUGGGUCAAGAUCAAUCUACUGAUCGCGUCAGUGAAUAAAAAUAGUAGCCAUUCGCUCCACUAUUUGAACGCCGAGAACUCUUCCACAUAAGUGUCUUCUGUGCCAAAUUACCAUAUGUAGCAAUUGACCCUAUUGUAUACUAAAUAUUUUCUUUAAUCAAACGCAGCAAUAAGCAUUAAUCAAUUAAAAGACGAGAGCUCGUUUGCCAAAUUAAAGUAUAGUUGGAAAUUAAAAAUCCAUUUCGCCGCAUGGGGAGGUCGGCGAAAAAUUUAAAAAUAUUCCAAAAUACGAUGAUGUAUACAUGAGAAAUACGGAUGUUAUGAGAAUGCUGGGCUAAUGAAAAACAGCUCAAAAGAUUCCAGGAAGAGCGAUCUCCAGCGUGGCGUUGCAUUGCGGCAGCAGCAACCAUGCAAUCGGCAACAAAACGCUUGUUUUGUAAUCACAGAACAACAACAAACUGCCGGCAUUCAAAAGAUCCAAAUGAUGCCAACAUAAAACAGCAGCCAGAACAGCAAAUCUUACAAAACAGCCCUAAAAGUCUGGAGGAGGCAAGUGGGCAAGUGAACUAGUGAGCAAGUGAGUUCCCCAAGGCGGCUGUUUAUAUUA